rnacentral:lncRNA from 1 species
UUCUGCACAUGUGUAGGGGGUGCCCAAAAACAAAGGACGCUGGAGAGCCGGUGCGGAAGGCAGUGCCGGAAGAGCCUGCGGCCCAAGGCCUUUUGGGGUGAACCACGGAGUGAGUGUCUGGUUUUGUUGGAGACAUCUGGUAUCAAGACCUCUGGCAGCAUCUGCGUACCUUGAAGCCACUUCCGCUCCUAUUUCUGCAAAUCCAAAUUAUCUGGGCAAUAUGAAGUCACGCCUUGACACUACAUUACUGAGUCCGUCCAGCUCUGUGACUCUCAACUCUUGGUCGGGGUCUAGAUUAGUCCACCUCCCGAAAGAGGGCAAGAUUGGGCCACCACUGAGCCCUAUGAAGAUCCUUGAACAAGGCAUGACUCUGUCGCUUGCGAUCCUAGCCAUGUUUACUCGGAACUUAAGUUACAAUGCAGAAAGCAAGCAAUACACUUGGAAGAUAGCUCCAGAUCAGUUCGCCAGGAUCCACUCAGAUACUAUUCAGCCUCUCCAAAGGAGCCAUAAACGAUCUGGGGCGUUGGUUGAAAAAUCAAACUGAGGAGAGACGCCAACAGAGCCAUCAGGAUGAAGAUGAGUCAACUUCGAUGACUGAACUGUGAUUGAAGCAGUGCACAGCUGACCUAACUGUGGCAUGGUCCCAGUCACUUGGGGCAACUGAGCAUGAGGUACAACCGUCCACCUAUUCAUACGUCCAUGUGAAGUUGAGUAGAUAUUCAGUAGCUUGGAGAAUCAAAUGGCAACCAAUUCUUUUCAAAUAGUGUUAGCAAUAAAUGUGCUAGUCUAUUUCA